UACAGCCUAGUUUUGUAAAUAACAAUUUAUUGGAAAAAGCCACACUCAUUUAUUUACAUAGCACCUGUGGCUGCUUUUGUGUUCCAACAGCAGAACUGAGUCGUUGCCACAGAACUUGUAUAACCUGCCUAAAAUAUUCACUGUCUAGGCCUUUACAGGAAAAGUUUGCAGACCCCUGAGCUAGAUUAUCUGAAUACUUUAAAUCCUUAUAUAUGCCCCAACAAAUCCCUGAAAGCCUGCCCCCAGAAAUUCCAUUUCACCAAAUACCCCGGCCUUAUAAGUUGUCAACACUGAGAAACAUUGACAAGAAACAUGAAGAACCCCCUUCUAUGGAGAUUUGUAAGAAGAGUUCUCAGUUGGGCAUGGAGAAGGGGUCAUCCAGCAGAGAAGCAGGAAGUGGACUUUUUCACCUCCUAGCCCUCUGUGUGAGCUGAGACCGGAUGAUGG
rnacentral:lncRNA from 10 species